rnacentral:rRNA from 2 species
CAACUUUCAGCAACGGAUCUCUUGGCUCUCGCAUCGAUGAAGAACGCAGCGAAAUGCGAUAAGUAAUGUGAAUUGCAGAAUUCAGUGAAUCAUCGAAUCUUUGAACGCACCUUGCGCUCCUUCGCAAUUCCGAGGAGCAUGCCUGUUUGAGUGUCAUUA